AGUCUGACCAGCCAUGCCGCGUGAAGGAUUAAGGCCCUCUGGGUUGUAAACUUCUUUUAUAUGGGAAGAAAUGUACCGAUUCUUCGGUACUUGACGGUACUAUAGGAAUAAGCACCGGCUAACUCCGUGCCAGCGACCGCGGUAA
rnacentral:rRNA from 1 species